GAAAGCCUCCAUCAUCCCAAU
rnacentral:snRNA from 1 species